UGAGCAGGCGCGAAAACUCUACAAUGCAGGCAACUGCGAUAGGGGAACAUCGAGUGAUCCUCAUAUUGGGGGUCUGUCCACCCGUCUAAAAAACGGGUGUUAGCAAGGGCCGGGCAAGACCGGUGCCAGCCGCCGCGGUAAUACCGGCGGCUCGAGUGGUGGCCGAUAUUAUUGAGUCUAAAGGGUCCGUAGCCGGCUUUGCAAGUCUCUCGGGAAAUCCAGCGGCUUAACCGUUGGUCGUCCGGGGGGUACUACAUUGCUUGGGACUGGGAGAGGUAGGAGGUACUCAGGGGGUAGGAGUGAAAUCCUGUAAUCCUUUGGGGACCACCGGUGGCGAAGGCGUCCUACCAGAACAGGUCCGACGGUGAGGGACGAAAGCUAGGGGCACGAACCGGAUUAGAUACCCGGGUAGUCCUAGCCGUAAACGAUGCUCGCUAGGUGUCACAACAGUCGUGAACUGUUGUGGUGCCGUAGGGAAGCCGUGAAGCGAGCCACUUGGGAAGUACGACCGCAAGGUUGAAACUUAAAGGAAUUGGCGGGGGAGCAC
rnacentral:rRNA from 1 species